CUCAAACUCCUGACCUCAGGAUCUACCUGCCUCAGCCUCCCAAAGUGCUGGGAUUACAGGUGUGAGCCACUGCACCCAGCUGGGGGACACAAAGUUUCUGUCCAUGACAAGUAGGGUAUGUGGAAGGAAAAUUUGAAAAGCUUGGUGUUGCUUUAGUAAUGGGAACCAGCCAGUUUGGGCUCUUUCUUCCUGAAAGGCUGAACUGACAAACCCUGCACCCUAUUUUCUGGAAUUGGUGGGCCGUUCACGGCCCUUCAGCCAUGCCCAUCAGUUUUUAGAAACCUGUGUUCUCUACCUCCCUUGCUCCCCUCUGUGGCUCCACAAGUGGGGAGGAAACUUGCCCCGCCUUGUGCAGGUGAGAGGCCAGGGCAUCUUAACCCCCACAACCCUGAAGAACCAAAGCCAAGGCUCACUUCCUAUCACCAGAUGACAGAUGUGGCCCGAGGAAGGCUCUGGGCCAUGGUGCAGGGCUGCCUGUAGCCAAGCUGUGCCACUUGCAUCCUGCUGGUCCUUCCUCCACUUACGUUCUGAGAGGACUCCCUACCUCUUCCAGCUGUGACUGCAGGACCCAAGGGAAGCAGGAGCAUGCAGAGCAAAUGAGAUGGUGGUGUAGGCCUCUGGGUGUUGGGUGCAGGGCAAGGGGCGGGCAUGAGGGCUCCCUGCAGAGGAUAUUAUAAGGGUCCAAGGUGGGAGACACAUGGCUGAGGUCCACUCCAAUCACUUGAUGCUGGAGAGCUUUGAGCAAUUUCCCUGGUGGUGGAGGGAGAGCACAGGACCAGCCUGGGGCAGAACCUGUGCCUCAGUCCUCUCGUCUCUUACAUCUCUUAACUGGGUGGGGAUCAUGCAAUACCUACUCCCAGGUGCUUGUGAGGAUUAACAGGUGGGCAGUGCUAACAGUGCCUAGGAACAAGGACUGGUGGGUCUAGCAGUGUCCCACCCUCCAGCUACAUUCCAAGCCCCAGCAUGGCAAGGCGCUCCCAGCUGCCAGGCCAGUCCCUGGUCAGAGUGCAGCUGUCCAGGAAGCAAGCUGUCUCGAGUCACUCUCCUUAGACGACCAGACCCCAACACAAGCCGGAUGUGGGCCGAUCUGUAGAGGCCACUUGCUUCAGGUAGCUCUAAAUUUCCCUUCUCAUACCAUAGCUUUUUUUUUUUUUUUUUUAAAGAAAAUGUUCAGGAUGAGUUAAGAGGGAGAGAAAUGUUCAUGGUUUCGUCACCUAGCUAUGGUGAAUGUCUGGGUCUUCCGUUUCUAGCCAGAGAACUGGAACCAAGUCACUGUCUUGCUAGGGGCUUUGCAUGACCUCAUGCCCUGGGCUCAAGAUGGGCUUGCCCAGGCUUUGGUGUCUUAACACUCAGAACCUUUGGCUGUGGUGACUCAAAUUCCUUGUUUUACCUUCACCAAGUGACCCAGAGCCAGGAGCCUUGUUGACUGGCAGUGACUACCCCUGCUUAGAAUGCAAGGAUUGCUAGGGAAGAUCUUAGAAAAAAAAAAGACUCCAAAAAUUGAGAACCUAAAUGUAUUUCUUUGAAAAUGUCACCCAUAGAUCCUCUACCCCUAACUCAACAAUAAAUUUCACCAAAUAGC